GACGAACGCUGGCGGCGUGCUUAACACAUGCAAGUCGAACGAAGUGGCGAACGGGUGAGUAACGCGUAAUCAACCUGCCCUUCAGUGGGGGUCAACAGUUGGAAACGACUGCUAAUACCGCAUACUGACGGGCGGGAUUGCGUCGGAUUAGCUAGUUGGGGGGGUGAACGCCCACCAAGGCGAUGGUAAGUAGCCGGUCUGGGGGGAUGAACGGCCACAUGGGGACUGAGACACGGCCCAGAAUCCUACGGGGGGCAGCAGUGGGGAAUCUUCCGAAAUGGACGAAAGGCUGACGGAGCAACGCCGCGGGAGUGAAGACGGGCUUCGGGUUUUAAAGCUAUGUUAAUCGGGACGCGGUACCGGAAGAGAAAGCCACGGCUAACUACGUGCCAGCAGCCGCGGUAAUAC
rnacentral:rRNA from 1 species